rnacentral:rRNA from 1 species
UGCCAGCCGCCGCGGUAAUACGAAGGGGGUUAGCGUUGUUCGGAAUUACUGGGCGUAAAGCGCGCGUAGGCGGAUCAGAAAGUUGGGGGUGAAAUCCCGGGGCUCAACCCCGGAACUGCCUCCAAAACUCCUGGUCUUGAGUUCGAGAGAGGGGAGUCGUAUUAUUAAAGAAGAGGUGGUAUUCUUAGAUAUUAAUAGGACGAUCAAAGGCGAAGGCAACUCCCUAGAUUAAAACUGACGCUGAGGUACGAAAGCGUGGGGAGCAAACAGGAUUAGAUA